GACGAACCGUCCAAACGUUAUUCGGAAUUACUGGGCUUAAAGGGUGCGUAGGCGGCGCGGAAAGUUGGGUGUGAAAUUUCGGAGCUUAACUCCGAAACUGCAUUUGAUACUGCCUUGCUUGAGGACUGGAGAGGAGACUGGAAUUUACGGUGUAGCAGUGAAAUGCGUAGAUAUCGUAAGGAAGACCAGUGGCGAAGGCGGGUCUCUGGACAGUUCCUGACACUGAAACGCGAAAGCAUGGGGAGCAAACCGG
rnacentral:rRNA from 1 species